UUAAACCUCGGUACCAGUCUCACUGCAGUAAUGCAAGGGCGAAGUACGUCUAAUUAUAUUAAUAUUCAUUUGUACUUGGUUGCGAAUCAAAUACCAGUGCAGUAAGUUUUAUGUAAUGUAUCCAGUUAUACGGUACGCACACAAACACGCUCGUGCGUGCGCUUGUAGAAUAUUUCAUAAUAUAUCGUUAUGACAACCGCGCGGAUUAAAAGCUAUAUCAACAGUGAUGAAAAGAAAUAUGCGACACGCUUAUGCCACAAAUUAAUUCGUGAGCCCUAAAAAAGAUUACGAGCUACAUUCAGGAAAAUCUAUUCAUCAUGUGUUGUAUUUUAAACUUCCAUAAAAGACAAGUAAAAUCAGGGAGUAGGAAAUGAAAAUACUUGGAAAAUUAGCAAUUUCAAGGAUAUCCAUAGAUUGCAUUCGGCCAUGUUCCAAGAAGCAAGACACUACUAAGACUUUAGAGUCCUUGGCAAAUGAAAACAUCGUUCCAGUUCGGACAUUUCAAAAUACAAUAAAACCUUCGUCUGUACGUCGUAGUCACGGUCAGGACCGUGGUCGUAUUAGGCGGCAAAAUUUCAAAUUCAAUAGGAGUUUGCUAAGUUAAUAAUUUUUCUCCUCGCGAGUGGCGUAUUCAAUGUCAAUCCCUCUUUCAUUCAUCGUAUCGAAAUUGGUCGUGUUGUGAAGUUCUUAUGAAAAAAACCGUUUAUCACGCGCUUGAGAUUUCCAUUGUUGUCAGUUGUCACUUCGUUGGCCUAGUUAUAACAAAUCCCGGGGUCCUGCCAGGUUUCCGGUACGAGUUACUCUCUUUCCUGGUCUGACGGUAUAGCUUCAAGCAUCGUAGAGCUGCGCUUUAGGAACAGAUGCCAUAUGUCAGACCUGACAAGGGAGUGGAAGCAGCUCUGGUAACAAAGCACCGAAAUAUCACUAGUACCACACUACUGCCACCAACGUCGCUCGAGAUGAGGUCACGGGGACUGUUACGAGAAACUUUACAGGAGAUUACAUUUGGCUGGUCGGGUGAUCAGUAUCUUAUUUCUACACAUUGUUGAUGGAUUGUUAACCCGGGGGUACUGAUUAAUUAAUGCGGCUGAUGGGGUGUCCUGUCUUUUCAAGCGGAUGUUCGUAAGGUGUACGAAACUGAGCGUGAGCUAAUAGUUUUUUGGGUCAGAGGUGAAAGGAACAUUCAUAAUGGAGGAAGACUGCAAGAGUUCAUAAUGCUGGCCGCCUAACAAAGUAAGUUCAUGUAAUGCAGAUCCAAGGGUGUUACUUGUACAAUGUCGGCGAAAGUUAAUCACUUGAAGAUUGAUGAGGCAACGCCCUUUAUAAGUCUCCCUUAAGUUUAGUGAUUAACUUAUUGAAAGUGUGAAGAGUGUGAUAUCGUUUGAGAUUAAAAUACGUCGAUCGCUUCCGUUUAGCGCUCUUUUUCCUUAAGUUGACGUUACGCUGUAAGGGUGGGACCCUAUAUCUAUGGGUGAACCUUGGAGUGAAGAAGUCCUGAGCUGCUAUCAUGGAAUUAUCGGGACAUUUUCAGUAACUUAGAUUGGGUUUUGAAAACUUUGUACUCAUCGAAGGCUAUAGCUCCUUAAAAUUGUCUGAAAACCAUAGUUUUUGUAAUAAAGGAAAUUUUAUUUUUA